UACGGGGGGGGGCAAGCGUUGUUCGGAAUUACUGGGCGUAAAGGGCUCGUAGGCGGCCAACUAAGUCGGACGUGAAAUCCCUCGGCUUAACCGGGGAACUGCGUCCGAUACUGGAUGGCUUGAGUUUGGGAGAGGGAUGCGGAAUUCCAGGUGUAGCGGUGAAAUGCGUAGAUAUCAGGAGGAACACCGGUGGCGAAGGCGGAUCUCUGGGCCGAUACUGACGCUGAGGAGCGAAAGCGUGGGGAGCGAACAGG
rnacentral:rRNA from 1 species